rnacentral:rRNA from 1 species
GCAGCUCUAGUGGUAGCAGUUUUUAUUGGGCCUAAAGCGUCCGUAGCCGGUUUAAUAAGUCUCUGGUGAAAUCCUGUAGCUUAACUGUGGGAAUUGCUGGAGAUACUAUUAGACUUGAGACCGGGAGAGGUUAGAGGUACUCCCAGGGUAGAGGUGAAAUUCUGUAAUCCUGGGAGGACCGCCUGUUGCGAAGGCGUCUAACUGGAACGGUUCUGACGGUGAGGGACGAAAGUUAGGGGCGCGAACCGGAUUAGAUACCCGGGUAGUCCUAACCGUAAACGAUGCGGACUUGGUGUUGGGGUGGCUUUGAGCUGCUCCAGUGCCGAAGGGAAGCUGUUAAGUCCGCCGCCUGGG